UUCAAAUGAUGUAAUAACAUAUUUGCUACUUCAGAUGGAACUUUGAGUUCCGAAUGAGACAUACCAAUUAUCACCAAGAUCUCUGAUGAA
rnacentral:snoRNA from 13 species